rnacentral:misc_RNA from 1 species
AGCCGCGGUAAUUCCAGCUCCAAUAGCGUAUAUUAAAGUUGUUGCAGUUAAAAAGCUCGUAGUUGAAUUUCGGGGUUAGUAGGUUGGUCAUGCCUCUGGUAUGUACUGGUCUCACUGAUUCCUCCUUCCUUAUGAACCGUAAUGCCAUUAAUUUGGUGUUGCGGGGAAUUUGGACUGUUACUUUGAAAAAAUUAGAGUGUUUAAAGCAAGCUAACGCUUGAAUACAUUAGCAUGGAAUAAUGAAAUAGGACGUUCGAUCUUAUUUUGUUGGUUUCUAGGAUUGACGUAAUGAUUAAUAGGGAUAGUUGGGGGCAUUAGUAUUCAAUUGUCAGAGGUGAAAUUCUUGGAUUUAUUGAAGACUAACUACUGCGAAAGCAUUUGCCAAGGAUGUUUUCAUUAAUCAAGAACGAAAGUUAGGGGAUCGAAGACGAUCAGAUACCGUCGUAGUCUUAACCAUAAACUAUGCCGACUAGGGAUCGGAUGAUGUUAAUUUUUUAAUGACUCAUUCGGCGCCUUACG